rnacentral:tRNA from 1 species
UGAGGUGUAGCUCAGAGGUAGAGACCACUUGCCUAGCAUACAUGAGGUCCUGAGUUUGAUCCCCAGCACCCCAU